GUGCUUGCUUUGGCAGCACAUAUACUAAAAUUGGAAGGAUAUAGAGAACAUUAGCAUGGCCUCUGUAAGGUCCCUUGGGACCCAGAAAUUCCAGUGCUAAACUCUG